rnacentral:rRNA from 1 species
UACAGAGGUCUCAAGCGUUGUUCGGAUUCAUUGGGCGUAAAGGGUGCGUAGGCGGCGCGGUAAGUCGGGUGUGAAAUCUCGGGGCUUAACUCCGAAACUGCAUUCGAUACUGCCGUGCUUGAGGACUGGAGAGGAGACUGGAAUUUACGGUGUAGCGGUGAAAUGCGUAGAUAUCGUAAGGAAGACCAGUGGCGAAGGCGGGUCUCUGGACAGUUCCUGACGCUGAGGCACGGAAGGCCCAGGGGGAGCAAAACGGGG